AACGAACGCUGGCGGCAUGCCUAACACAUGCCAGUCGAACGAGACCUUCGGGUCUAGUGGCGCACGGGUGCGUAACGCGUGGGAACCUGCCCUUAGGUUCGGAAUAACUCCCCGAAAGGGGUGCUAAUACCGGAUAAUGUCUUCGGACCAAAGAUUUAUCGCCUUUGGAUGGGCCCGCGUUGGAUUAGCUAGUUGGUAGGGUAAAAGCCUACCAAGGCGACGAUCCAUAGCUGGUCUGAGAGGAUGAUCAGCCACACUGGGACUGAGACACGGCCCAGACUCCUACGGGAGGCAGCAGUGGGUAAUAUUGGACAAUGGGCGGAAGCCUGAUCCAGCAAUGCCGGGUGAGUGAUGAAGGCCUUAGGGUUGUAAAGCUCUUUUACCCGGGAUGAUAAUGACAGUACCGGGAGAAUAAGCUCCGGCUAACUCCGUG
rnacentral:rRNA from 1 species